CCUACGGGGGGCAGCAGUGAGGAAUAUUGGUCAAUGGGAGAGAUCCUGAACCAGCCAAGCCGCGUGAGGGAAGACGGCCCUAUGGGUUGUAAACCUCUUUUGUCGGAGAACAAAACCCGGGACGUGUCCCGGACUGCGUGUAUCCGAAGAAAAAGCAUCGGCUAACUCCGUGCCAGCAGCCGCGGUAAUACGGAGGAUGCGAGCGUUAUCCGGAUUUCUUGGGUGUAAAGGGAGCGCAGGCGGGAAGCCAAGUCAGCUGUGAAAACUACGGACUUAACUUGUAGACUGCAGUUGAAACUGGUUUUCGUGAGUGAAGUAGAGGUUGGCGGAAUUCCGAGUGUAGCGGUGAAAUGCGUAGAUAUUCGGAGGAACACCGGUGGCGAAGGCGGCCAACUGGGCUUUAACUGACGCUGAGGCUCGAAAGUGUGGGGAGCAAACAGGAUUAGAUACCCUUGUAGUC
rnacentral:rRNA from 1 species